GACAUAGGAUCACAUGAUCCAGUGAGGAAAAGGUUGGCCAAGCUAUCGCUAAGAGAUGGACCCGCGGUGCAUUAGCUAGUUGGUAGGGUAAAGGCCUACCAAGGCGAUGAUGCAUAGCCGACCUGAGAGGGUGAUCGGCCACAUUGGGACUGAGACACGGCCCAAAUUCUACGGGAGGCAGCAGUAGGGAAUCUUCCCCAAUGGACGCAAGUCUGACGGAGCAACGCCGCGUGAGUGAAGAAGGUCUUCGGAUCGUAAAGCUCUGUUGUUAGAGAAGAACAGCGCAUAGAGUAACUGUUAUG
rnacentral:rRNA from 1 species